UACGGAGGGGGCUAGCGUUGUUCGGAAUUACUGGGCGUAAAGCGUGCGUAGGUGGUUUUUUAAGUCUGCUGUGAAAGCCCUGGGCUCAACCUGGGAAUGGCGGUGGAUACUGAAAAGCUAGAGUGCGGUAGAGGAGGGUGGAAUUCCCGGUGUAGCGGUGAAAUGCGUAGAGAUCGGGAGGAACAUCAGUGGCGAAGGCGGCCCUCUGGACCAGCACUGACGCUGAGGCACGAAAGCGUGGGGAGCAAACAGG
rnacentral:rRNA from 1 species